GAUGAACGCUGGCGGCGUGCCUAAUACAUGCAAGUCGAGCGAAUGGAUUAAGAGCUUGCUCUUAUGAAGUUAGCGGCGGACGGGUGAGUAACACGUGGGUAACCUGCCCAUAAGACUGGGAUAACUCCGGGAAACCGGGGCCAAUACCGGAUAACAUUUUGAACCGACUGGUUCGAAAUUGAAAGGCGGCUUCGGCUGUCACUUAUGGAUGGAACCGGGUCCUAUUAGCUAGUUGGUGAGGUAACGGCUCACCAAGGCAACGAUGCGUAGCCGACCUGAGAGGGUGAUCGGCCACACUGGGACUGAGACACGGCCCAGACUCCUACGGGAGGCAACAGUAGGGAAUCUUCCGCAAUGGACGAAAGUCUGACGGAGCAACGCCGCGUGAGUGAUGAAGGCUCUCGGGUCGUAAAACUCUGUUGUUAGGGAAGAACAAGUGCUAGUUGAAUAAGCUGGCACCUUGACGGUACCUAACCAGAAAGCCACGGCUAACUACGUGCCAGCAGCCGCAGUAA
rnacentral:rRNA from 1 species